AGGACGAACGCUGGCGGCGUGCUUAACACAUGCAAGUCGAGCGGUAAGGCCUUUCGGGGUACACGAGCGGCGAACGGGUGAGUAACACGUGGGUGAUCUGCCCUGCACUUCGGGAUAAGCCUGGGAAACUGGGUCUAAUACCGGAUAUGACCUCCUAUCGCAUGGUGGGUGGUGGAAAGAUUUAUCGGUGCAGGAUGGGCCCGCGGCCUAUCAGCUUGUUGGUGGGGUAAUGGCCUACCAAGGCGACGACGGGUAGCCGACCUGAGAGGGCGACCGGCCACACUGGGACUGAGACACGGCCCAGACUCCUACGGGAGGCAGCAGUGGGGAAUAUUGCACAAUGGGCGAAAGCCUGAUGCAGCGACGCCGCGUGAGGAUGACGGCCUUCGGGUUGUAAACCUCUUUCAGCAGGACGAAGCGCAAGUGACGGUACCUGCAGAAGAAGCACCGGCUAACUACGUGCUAGCAGCCGC
rnacentral:rRNA from 1 species